rnacentral:rRNA from 1 species
GACGAACGCUGGCGGCGUGCUUAACACAUGCAAGUCGAACGGAAAGGCCCUUCUGGGUACUCGAGUGGCGAACGGUUGCGUAACACGUGGGUGAUCUGCCCUGCACUUUGGGAUAAGCCUGGGCAACUGGGUCUAAUACCGAAUAGGACCACGCGCUUCAUGGUGUGUGGUGGCAAGCUUUUGCGGUGUGGGAUGGGCCCGCGGCCUAUCAGCUUGUUGGUGGGGUAAUGGCCUACCAAGGCGACGACGGGUAGCCGGCCUGAGAGGGUGACCGGCCACACUGGGACUGAGAUACGGCCCAGAGUCCUACGGGAGGCAGCAGUGGGGAAUAUUGCACAAUGGGCGAAAGCCUGAUGCAGCGACGCCGCGUGAGGGAUGACGGCCUGCGGGUUGUAAACCUCUUUCAAUAGGGACGAAGCGCAAGUGACGGUACCUAUAGAAGAAGAAACGGCCAACUACGUG